rnacentral:rRNA from 1 species
GACAUAGGGGGCGAACGUUAUCCGGAAUUAUUGGGCGUAAAGGAUGCGUAGGUGGUAGAAUAAGUUACUGGUCGAUGCCAAACUCAAUUUGACGGAAGCUGGUAAUACUGUUCUGCUCGAGGGCAGGAGAGGUUGAUGGAAUUCUGUGUGGAGCGGUGAAAUGCGUUGAUCUACAGAGGAACACCAAAAAAGGCGAAGGCAGUCAACUAUUCUGUUCCUGACAUUGAGGCAUGAAAGCGUGGGGAGCAAACCGG